AUUGAACGCUGGCGGCAGGCUUAACACAUGCAAGUCGAGCGGGGGAGGUUGCUUCGGUAACUGACCUAGCGGCGGACGGGUGAGUAAUGCUUAGGAAUCUGCCUAUUAGUGGGGGACAACAUUCCGAAAGGGAUGCUAAUACCGCAUACGCCCUACGGGGGAAGCAGGGGAUCUUCGGACCUUGCGCUAAUAGAUGAGCCUAAGUCGGAUUAGCUAGUUGGUGGGGUAAAGGCCUACCAAGGCGACGAUCUGUAGCGGGUCUGAGAGGAUGAUCCGCCACACUGGGACUGAGACACGGCCCAGACUCCUACGGGAGGCAGCAGUGGGGAAUAUUGGACAAUGGGCGGAAGCCUGAUCCAGCCAUGCCGCGUGUGUGAAGAAGGCCUUUUGGUUGUAAAGCACUUUAAGCGAGGAGGAGGCUCUUAAGGUUAAUACCCUUGAUGAGUGGACGUUACUCGCAGAAUAAGCACCGGCUAACUCUGUGCCAGCAGCCGCCGUAAAAC
rnacentral:rRNA from 1 species